GCUGGGUGUGGUGGCGCACACCUGUAAUCCCAGAGGCUUGGGAGGCUGACACCAGAGAAUCACAAGUUCAAAGCUAGCCUCAGCAAAAGCAAGGCACUAAGCAACUAAGUGAGACCCUGUCUU
rnacentral:sRNA from 1 species